AUGACGAAUAGAAAAUCAGACUUCUCUCACUUACCCCAGCUGUUUACCCCUGUCCCAUACUCUCUCCGUUUAUUUAUUCAUCCCUUCAUCCGUUUCUUUCUGUUUUCCACUCAUCUCCCAUCUCCCAGGCAAACUCGGAGCCUGGACUCAUCCACCUGUCACACUCUGGGCAAGAAGCUCCCUGACAACGACAGAAUGAAGCCCACCUCCAUCCUGAGGGGGUCCCGAGGACGGCCCCCUCCCCUGCGGCCUCUCGGUAAGGGGACCCUCCGAGAGUUGGCCCCGGGCUCACCCCAUCCAUACAGGUGCUGACCUCUGACCUCUCACCUCAGUCCCCUUGGAGGAGCGGCCUGAGAGAGAAAGAGCUGUUGCCUUCCUCCUCCAUAAUUCCACUGCCUAUAAUGCACUAUUUAUUUGAUUUUGUACCCCAGCCAUGGGCCUGUGUGUGUGUGUGUGUGUGUGUGUGUGUGUGUGUGUGUGUGGGUGUGGGUGUGUGGUGUGUGUGUGUGUGUGUGUGUGUGUGUGUGUGUCGUUUGCGUGUGUGGUUGUGCGUUGUGUGUGAUGUGUUUGUGUGUAAGUGUACACUGAGGUACAAAACAUAUAAGAACAUAACAUAGACUGACAAGAUGAAUCCAGGUGAAAGCUGUGAUCUUA
rnacentral:lncRNA from 1 species